rnacentral:rRNA from 1 species
AACGAACGCUGGCGGCAGGCCUAACACAUGCCAGUCGAGCGAGGACUUCGGUUCUAGCGGCGGACGGGUGAGUAACGCGUGGGAAUGUGCCCUUCUCUACGGAAUAGCCCUGGGAAACUGGGAGUAAUACCGUAUACGCCCUAUUGGGGAAAGAUUUAUCGGAGAAGGAUCAGCCCGCGUUGGAUUAGGUAGUUGGUGGGGUAAUGGCCUACCAAGCCGACGAUCCAUAGCUGGUUUGAGAGGAUGAUCAGCCACACUAGGACUGAGACACGGCCCAGACUCCUACGGGAGGCAGCAGUGGGGAAUCUUAGACAAUGGGGGCAACCCUGAUCUAGCCAUGCCGCGUGAGUGAUGAAGGCCUUAGGGUUGUAAAGCUCUUUCAGCUGGGAAGAUAAUGACGGUACCAGCAGAAGAAGCCCCGGCUAACUCCGUG